rnacentral:tRNA from 1 species
GCAGCGGUUGUUCAGUGGUAGAAUGCUCACCUUCCGUGUAGGAGACCCAGGUUUGAUUCCUGGCCAGUGCA